GGGGGUGUAGCUCAGUUGGUAGAGCGCGACGUUCGCAAUGUCGAGGCCGUGGGUUCGAGUCCCAUCACCUCCACGA
rnacentral:tRNA from 1 species